rnacentral:ncRNA from 1 species
AUUCUGGUUGAUCCUGCCAGUAGUUAUAUGCUUGUCUCAAAGAUUAAGCCAUGCAUGUCUAAGUACACACGAAUUAAAAGUGAAACCGCAAAAGGCUCAUUAUAUCAGUUAUGGUUCAUUAGAUCGUUAACAGUUACUUGGAUAACUGUGGUAAUUCUAGAGCUAAUACAUGCAUUAUAAGCACGGACCUUUUGGAACGUGUGCUUUUAUUAGGCUAAAACCAAGCGAUUCUUUCGGGAAUCGUUGACUGGUUGAACUCUAGAUAACUUGCAGAUCGUAUGGUCUUGUACCGACGACAGAUCUUUCAAAUGUCUGCCCUAUCAACUAUUGAUGGUAGUAUCUAGGACUACCAUGGUUGCAACGGGUAACGGGGAAUCAGGGUUCGAUUCCGGAGAGGGAGCCUGAGAAACGGCUACCACAUCUAAGGAAGGCAGCAGGCGCGUAAAUU